rnacentral:rRNA from 1 species
UACGGAGGGGGCUAGCGUUGUUCGGAAUUACUGGGCGUAAAGCGUGCGUAGACGGUUAUGUAAGUCAGGUGUGAAAGCCCCGGGCUCAACCUGGGAAUGCCAUUUGAGACUGCAUAGCUAGGGUACGGAAGAGGGAAGCGGAAUUUCAGGUGUAGCGGUGAAAUGCGUAGAUAUCUGAAGGAACACCGGUGGCGAAGGCGGCAUCCUGGACCGGCAUUGACGCUGAGGCGCGAAAGCCAGGGGAGCAAACGGG